rnacentral:misc_RNA from 1 species
AACGCACAUUGCGCCCUUCGGUUAUUCCUUAGGGCAUGCCUGUUCGAGCGUCAUUUCAACCUUCAAGCUCAGCUUGGUGUUGGGCGCUGUCCCGCCUCUUGCGCGCGGACUCGCCCCAAAUUGAUUGGCAGUCGCAUCCACCGAGCCGCGAGCGCAGCACAAGUCGCGCGAGCCGGCGAGGCGGCAAGGACGCUCCACAAGACCCUUUUUUACAAGUCUUGACCUCGGAUCAGGUAGGGAUACCCGCUGAACUUAA